AUGGCGCUGUUCUGCGUCCGCAGGUACGGCGGGGAGGAGGAGCAGGAGGGAAGCGGAGCGGAGGAGCGAGCCCGGGCCCUGCUGCAGAGGCUGCGCCAGCAGGCCGAGGCCCGGCGGCUGAGCAGGCAGCGGGAGGGAGGGGAAGGGGCGUCCGGAGGAGCCGGGCCCGGGGGCCAACCCGAGGGAGGACAGAGAGAGAGGGAGAGUGACGAGCCGUCCGGCGCGCGGGGACAGAAGCAGCCGAGGAGGCAGCGGGAGCCUCGCGGCCCUUCCGAAGAGGGGCCGGGCGCUGAGGAGGCAGCAGCGGGCGGCACCGCCUCCAAGAGGAAGAAGGAAAAGAGAAGAAAAUCGCAAGUGCGGCAAGAGAGGACUGAAGCAGAGUCUGAAGAAGACAUCACACCACAGGACAACAGGACUAACCUUAGCAAUAAACUUGCUAAAAGGAAGAAGAGGGAUGAGGAAACCAGGAGAACUGAAACAAGGGAGGAAGCGAAUAGGGAAAGAGCUGAAGGAAAUCAAAGCACCAAGGAGGAGCUGACCUUAGCAGCCUCAGAGGAAGAGGCAAAACCUCCACCUUCCAGUUUUGAGGUUCUUGGAGACUAUGACAUAAAGCCAGUGCAGAAGGUUCAGCCCUUCUUACCACACUGGCUUGCCCAACCCAAACUGGUGCAGAAACGGAUCAAGGAUAAUCUGGUUCCAAUUGGAGAUGUCCCAGGAAUUCAUCCCCGGCUGUUGAAAAAGCUUCAAAUGAAUGGGAUCGAGUCCUUUUUUCCAGUUCAGGCACAGGUGAUUCCUGCUAUCCUCCAGAGUGCAUCCAAUGGGUACCUGGUGGGGCAGGGGGGAUACCGCCCCAAGGACAUCUGCGUCUCGGCUCCCACGGGCAGUGGGAAAACCCUGUCCUUUGUCAUACCCAUAGUACAGGUUCUGCUGGACCGAGUCGUGUGCCAAGUACGAGCUCUGGUUGUGCUGCCCACCAAAGAGCUGGCACAGCAGGUGAGUAAAGUAUUCAACAUUUACACUGAUGGGACAGGUCUGAAGGUCGUUUUGAUUACUGGCCAGAAAUCUUUUGCAAAGGAGCAGGAGAUGCUUAUCCAGAAAAAAGUGACAGGCUACUGCAGCCUGGCUGACAUCAUCGUGGCCACGCCAGGGCGGCUCACGGAUCACAUCAGCCAGACCCCGGGGUUCAGCCUGGCGCAGCUUCGCUUCCUGAUUGUUGAUGAAGCUGACCGUAUGAUCGACGACAUGCACCAGAACUGUCUGAACCAAGUUGUCAAAGCUGCAUUCCAAGUAGAAAAUUGCUCUGGCUCCAAGAUGCUUUUUCAGAGGACUAAGCCAGGGCCUGUAACAGCAGCCAGCUCCUGCUAUCCUCAGAUACCCUUACAGAAACUGCUGUUUUCAGCCACCCUGACCCAGGACCCAGAGAAGCUGCAGCAGCUGGACUUAUUCCAGCCUCGCCUCUUCACGUCUGUCUAUUCUGAGAAAAAAACUCUUGGAGAUGGAACAGAGGCUGAACAAGAUACUGAUAAGAAAUACACACUCCCUGAGGGGCUCUCGCAAUGUUAUGUGCCUUGUGAUCUGAAUUCCAAGCCUUUGCUCCUCUUGCAUUUCAUGCUGAUAAAGAAAUUUACCCGUGUGUUGUGCUUCACCAAUUCCAGGGAAGCUUCUCACAGAUUGUUCCUGCUGGUUAAAGCCUUUGGUGGAGUCACUGUGGCUGAGUUUUCUUCUCGGUUACCUCCGAAUGAGAGACGGAGAACCAUGAAGGAAUUUGAGCAAGGAAAAAUACAACUGUUAAUCAGCACAGAUGCCACUGCACGAGGGAUUGAUGUUCAAGAAGUGAAUUAUGUCAUCAACUACGACGCGCCGCAGUUCAUCAGGACCUACGUUCACCGAGUUGGAAGAACAGCUCGUGCAGGAAAAGUGGGUGUUGCUUUCAGCUUGGUCCUUAGAAUUCAGGAGCGCAGGUUUCUGCGGAUGCUGAGGGAUGCUGGCAUCCAGGACAUAAAAAAGCACCCAGUGAAGGGUAACUCAUUAAAGCCAUUGCUGCAGCAAUAUGAGGAAGCUCUGUGUAAGCUUGAGAAGACAGUCAAGAAUGAGCGAGCACAGAAACGAGCCUGAAUGAAUGGAAGCAGAGAAGGUUGUGUUUGUGGCACUGCAGCUGCUGAGUGGGAUAGGUCAUGGAUGGUAACAAGGAGACAUGGUCCCUGAAUGGAGCCAGAUGGUUGGCUCCUCAACCUUAUUAUAUCUAAAGUCAACUGUUGCAGACCUCAUUCCCUUUUCAAGGACACUCAGAGUUCAAUUACUGGUUAAAAAAAAAAAAAAGACAGCAAUAAUUUUGAGAUACAGUUAUCUUGAAGAGGACUUUGGAUCACAUCCUGCUGGCGUGGCUAAAACUACCACCAGUCGCUGCAGCAUGGGCCUGAUGGAGCUGCUGGUCUCCAAAGGUGUUGCCCAGCAUGGGUGCCUGGGCUGGCAUCAGAGCAGCCAAAGUGGAAAGUCCUCUGGAGCCGGAGCUGUGGGCUUCUGUGAGUAGAGCAAGGAUCUGCUUUGGGCACCUGCAUCCCACCAGCCGAGCUUUGGGUUCCCUCUACAUGAAGCAAGUAAGGGCAGUUAUUAAGCCUGAGUUCAGGUUUGAUGUGGCAGAGCCCGGUUGGAGCUUUGCCCUGGACAGCCCCCAGUGCCCCUGGUCUGUGAGACCACC